rnacentral:rRNA from 1 species
GAUGAACGCUGGCGGCGUGCCUAAUACAUGCAAGUCGAGCGAACGGACGAGAAGCUUGCUUCUCUGAUGUUAGCGGCGGACGGGUGAGUAACACGUGGAUAACCUACCUAUAAGACUGGGAUAACUUCGGGAAACCGGAGCUAAUACCGGAUAAUAUUUUGAACCGCAUGGUUCAAAAGUGAAAGACGGUCUUGCUGUCACUUAUAGAUGGAUCCGCGCUGCAUUAGCUAGUUGGUAAGGUAACGGCUUACCAAGGCAACGAUGCAUAGCCGACCUGAGAGGGUGAUCGGCCACACUGGAACUGAGACACGGUCCAGACUCCUACGGGAGGCAGCAGUAGGGAAUCUUCCGCAAUGGGCGAAAGCCUGACGGAGCAACGCCGCGUGAGUGAUGAAGGUCUUCGGAUCGUAAAACUCUGUUAUUAGGGAAGAACAUAUGUGUAAGUAACUGUGCACAUCUUGACGGUACCUAAUCAGAAAGCCACGGCUAACUACGUGCCAGCAGCCGCGGUAAUACGUAGGUGGCAAGCGUUAUCCGGAAUUAUUGGGCGUAAAGCGCGCGUAGGCGGUUUUUUAAGUCUGAUGUGAAAGCCCACGGCUCAACCGUGGAGGGUCAUUGGAAACUGGAAAACUUGAGUGCAGAAGAGGAAAGUGGAAUUCCAUGUGUAGCGGUGAAAUGCGCAGAGAUAUGGAGGAACACCAGUGGCGAAGGCGACUUUCUGGUCUGUAACUGACGCUGAUGUGCGAAAGCGUGGGGAUCAAACAGGAUUAGAUACCCUGGUAGUCCACGCCGUAAACGAUGAGUGCUAAGUGUUAGGGGGUUUCCGCCCCUUAGUGCUGCAGCUAACGCAUUAUGCACUCCGCCUGGGGAGUACGACCGCAAGGUUGAAACUCAAAGGAAUUGACGGGGACCCGCACAAGCGGUGGAGCAUGUGGUUUAAUUCGAAGCAACGCGAAGAACCUUACCAAAUCUUGACAUCCUUUGACAACUCUAGAGAUAGAGCCUUCCCCUUCGGGGGACAAAGUGACAGGUGGUGCAUGGUUGUCGUCAGCUCGUGUCGUGAGAUGUUGGGUUAAGUCCCGCAACGAGCGCAACCCUUAAGCUUAGUUGCCAUCAUUAAGUUGGGCACUCUAAGUUGACUGCCGGUGACAAACCGGAGGAAGGUGGGGAUGACGUCAAAUCAUCAUGCCCCUUAUGAUUUGGGCUACACACGUGCUACAAUGGACAAUACAAAGGGCAGCGAAACCGCGAGGUCAAGCAAAUCCCAUAAAGGUGUUCUCAGUUCGGAUUGUAGUCUGCAACUCGACUACAUGAAGCUGGAAUCGCUAGUAAUCGUAGAUCAGCAUGCUACGGUGAAUACGUUCCCGGGUCU